UGGGGAAUAUUGGACAAUGGGGGGAACCCUGAUCCAGCAAUGCCGCGUGUGUGAAGAAGGCCUGCGGGUUGUAAAGCACUUUCACUAGGGAAGAAGGGUUUAUAUCUAAUAGGUAUAAGCAUUGACGGUACCUGGAGAAGAAGCACCGGCUAACUCUGUGCCAGCAGCCGCGGUAAUACAGAGGGUGCGAGCGUUAAUCGGAAUUACUGGGCGUAAAGGGCACGUAGGUGGAUAAUUAAGUUAGAUGUGAAACCCCUGGGCUCAACCUGGGACUGGCAUAUAAGACUGGUUAUCUGGAGUAUGGUAGAGGAAGGUGGAAUUUCAGGUGUAGCGGUGAAAUGCGUAGAUAUCUGAAGGAACACCGGUGGCGAAGGCGGCCUUCUGGACCAAUACUGACACUGAGGUGCGAAAGCGUGGGUAGCGAACAGGAUUAGAUACCCGCGUAGUCC
rnacentral:rRNA from 1 species